GAUUAAGUUAUUAAGGGCGCACGGUGGAUGCCUUGGCACUAGAAGCCGAUGAAGGACGUUACUAACGACGAUAUGCUUUGGGGAGCUGUAAGUAAGCUUUGAUCCAGAGAUUUCCGAAUGGGGAAACCCAGCAUGAGUUAUGUCAUGUUAUCGAUAUGUGAAUACAUAGCAUAUCAGAAGGCACACCCGGAGAACUGAAACAUCUUAGUACCCGGAGGAAGAGAAAGAAAAUUCGAUUCCCUUAGUAGCGGCGAGCGAAACGGGAAGAGCCCAAACCAACAAGCUUGCUUGUUGGGGUUGUAGGACACUCUAUACGGAGUUACAAAGGACGACAUUAGACGAAUCAUCUGGAAAGAUGAAUCAAAGAAGGUAAUAAUCCUGUAGUCGAAAAUGUUGUCUCUCUUGAGUGGAUCCUGAGUACGACGGAGCACGUGAAAUUCCGUCGGAAUCUGGGAGGACCAUCUCCUAAGGCUAAAUACUCUCUAGUGACCGAUAGUGAACCAGUACCGUGAGGGAAAGGUGAAAAGCACCCCGGAAGGGGAGUGAAAUAGAACCUGAAACCGUGUGCUUACAAGUAGUCAGAGCCCGUUAAUGGGUGAUGGCGUGCCUUUUGUAGAAUGAACCGGCGAGUUACGA
rnacentral:rRNA from 1 species